rnacentral:lncRNA from 1 species
UUGAAACAAAGGAAGAUGGAGAAGACGAAAAAGAGAUAAAAGAGAUAGAAGAGACAAAAAGAAUGAGAAGCUUGGGAAAGAAGAAAAGGCCGUCGUAUCGAACUGUCGCAUCGAAGCGAGUUCCGAGGUCUGCUAUAAUGAUGAAUAGACAGCGGCAAUUAAGAUGACCUAAUUAAUGCCGCAUGUAAGACAAAAUUAGAGAAUAUGAUCGGGGCCGUAAAGAAGAGAGUAAGUGG